rnacentral:lncRNA from 1 species
GGAUAUUACAUUGCUAUUUGAUCGGAGGUGUCUCUAACUAUUUUCACUGGCCGAUCGCUCGUUAUUUACUCCAGCACGCCACCACAGUACUCUAACCUUAUCUUUGCACUUUCUAACAAUAAUACGAACUCAAUAUAUUUAAUUACAUAUGUAUACGGGCAGUACUUCAAUUAAUUAAUCCUUACUCAAAUUUAUGUUUUUCAUCCUAUCAUAAAACCAUCUUCAAUUAACUCACAUCUUAAUACAUUUUUACCAAAAUUACUUAUAUCAUUACUUAUGAAAUUCCUUAGAUUAUAUCACCGACAACUUAAUUAUGAUGUCACAUGUCUACUUCAACCUUUCUAAAUAAUUUCCACCCAAAUCUAUCUUAUAUUUCCACACAUAAUCCACAUAUAUGGCAGCAACAAUCAUUCUCACUUUCACUCGAUUAUUUCCUAACUUUCAAUACUUUGUUUCUCAAUCCUUCAUCCACAAUAUUCCUUUUUCAUUACUUUCAAACAACAUGCCAUACAAUCUUAAUAAUUUUCAACUAGCUUAGGCAAAUAAAUCCUUUCAACAACCAUAAUUCCUCACAAUAUUUAACUAACUGUAGGCUUUAAAACACAAUGUUAUGCUUACCAUUUUCCUUUUCCACUUUGAGUCCUUCAUGUACCCAUGGGUUUAUUGGCUUACAUGUUACCCAUUUUUCUCCAAUCAAGCCAAUCUUUGCUGCCAUAAGACAUUUCUCUAAGUCACUAACUCAUUUUCAAAAACUACUUAAGCCAAAAACAAGAAUUCUUACCGUUCCUUGCUUG